rnacentral:rRNA from 1 species
AAGCCACGGCUAACUACGUGCCAGCAGCCGCGGUAAUACGUAGGUGGCAAGCGUUAUCCGGAAUUAUUGGGCGUAAAGCGCGCGUAGGCGGUUUUUUAAGUCUGAUGUGAAAGCCCACGGCUCAACCGUGGAGGGUCAUUGGAAACUGGAAAACUUGAGUGCAGAAGAGGAAAGUGGAAUUCCAUGUGUAGCGGUGAAAUGCGCAGAGAUAUGGAGGAACACCAGUGGCGAAGGCGACUUUCUGGUCUGUAACUGACGCUGAUGUGCGAAAGCGUGGGGAUCAAACAGGAUUAGAUACCCUGGUAGUCCACGCCGUAAACGAUGAGUGCUAAGUGUUAGGGGGUUUCCGCCCCUUAGUGCUGCAGCUAACGCAUUAAGCACUCCGCCUGGGGAGUACGACCGCAAGGUUGAAACUCAAAGGAAUUGACGGC